CUUCAGCCAGAUUUCCACACCCACCUGCACAGGGCCCUCCUUUGCCCCCUGCAAAUGUCAGUGUGUCCUCAUUCCCCUUAGAGCAGGUCCACGGCCGGAGGCUGCCCAGAGGAGACUGGGGGUGUCUGUGCCUGUGCAUGGCGGCGUCCACCCCAGAACCCCCAAAUACAUGCAUAUAAAGCUCUGAGGAGCACUGUGGCCCUUUGCUGACAGUCAAGGGUUUGCAUCUGGUGGGGAAGUUUGUUUUGUUCUUUUUUUCUUCAUUUUAUUUGUAUUUGUUGUGAAAUACACAGAACAUGAAAUUGGCCAUUAGCUACUUCUGAAGAGUACAGUUCCACCGUGAAGAGCUCAUUCCCAUUGUUGUGCAACCCAUCUCCAGAACUGUUUUCAUCUUGCAAAACUGAAACUGCAAACCCAUUAAACACUAACUUCUCAUCCUCCCUCCCGCUCCCCCUGGCAACCCCCAUUCUCCAGUCUGUCUCUAUGAAUUCGACAACUCUAGAUUUCUCAUGGAAAAGGACGGCCUGGAGCCUUUGAACAGGGUCUGUGUCUUCCUCCUGUGUCAGCAAUGGGGGAGGAAAACGAGCGCACUACGGGGUAAAGGAGGUCACCCAAGAUCUCAAGUUCACGAGUGGCAGCCUGGAUUCAAGUCCCUGCCUGCCUCCAGAACCUGAGCUCUGAAACGCUGGACUAAUCAGAACCUCUUGGCCCUGAAAAAUGAGGCCUAUUGAACAAAGACAUUUGUGAGAAAAGGGACUAUUACAACCUAGUGUAAAGUAACAAGCAAAUAAAAAAUGAAAUGGCACAACUCCUCCCCACGCUCCGAACUCUCGACCCUCCUUCAUGGUUCUGCAUAGCCCUCACCCUGCAACACACACACCAUUUGUAUAUUGCUCACUCUCUGUCUUCCUCCACUAGAAUGCAAGCUUCCUAGAGCAGGCCUCUGCUGUUUUGUGCCUCUAGUCCACAAGGAGAGUGUACUGGUGCCCUGUGGACACGAGGUAAGUGUUAAAUGAAUGAGUAGAUGCAUCGCUUUACUUUCACCUUAACCCUGAAAGCGGUUAGCCACUAGCUGGGCCACAAGGAUCGGGCUGGGGAGACUUGUAGCCUGUAGCUGGUGAUUGAUGUUGAGGACAAAGUCAACUGGCAUCUGGGAAAGCCUGGGUUUGAGAGAAAAGAAGCCGCAACUGCCAUAUUGCUUCCCGUAUAGUAACCACCAAGCACUUGCAA
rnacentral:lncRNA from 10 species